rnacentral:rRNA from 1 species
AUUGAACGCUGGCGGCAGGCCUAACACAUGCAAGUCGAGCGGAUGAAGGGAGCUUGCUCCUGGAUUCAGCGGCGGACGGGUGAGUAAUGCCUAGGAAUCUGCCUGGUAGUGGGGGAUAACGUCCGGAAACGGGCGCUAAUACCGCAUACGUCCUGAGGGAGAAAGUGGGGGAUCUUCGGACCUCACGCUAUCAGAUGAGCCUAGGUCGGAUUAGCUAGUUGGUGGGGUAAAGGCCUACCAAGGCGACGAUCCGUAACUGGUCUGAGAGGAUGAUCAGUCACACUGGAACUGAGACACGGUCCAGACUCCUACGGGAGGCAGCAGUGGGGAAUAUUGGACAAUGGGCGAAAGCCUGAUCCAGCCAUGCCGCGUGGGUGAAGAAGGUCUUCGGAUUGUAAAGCACUUUUAGUUGGGAGGAAGAGCAGUAAGUUAAUACCUUGCUGUUUUGACGGUACCAACAGAAUAAGCACCGGCUAACUUCGUG